rnacentral:rRNA from 1 species
AUUCCAGCUCCAAUAGCGUAUAUUAAUGUUGUUGCAGUUAAAAAGCUCGUAGUUGGAUUUCUGGUGGGAGCGGCCGGUCCGCCGUAAGGUGUGUACUUGGUUGUCUCCUGUCAUCCUUGUGGGAACUGCUCUGGCAUUAAGUUGUCGGGGUUAGGGAACACAUCGUUUACUGUGAAAAAAUUAGAGUGUUUAAAGCAGGCUUAUGCCGUUGAAUACAUUAGCAUGGAAUAAUAAGAUAGGACUUUGGCGUCUAUUUUGUUGGUUUGCACACCAAGGUAAUGAUUAAUAGGGACAGUUGGGGGUAUCCGUAUUUCGUAGUCAGAGGUGAAAUUCUUGGAUUUACGAAAGACGAACUACUGCGAAAGCAUUUACCAAGGAUGUUCUCAUUA